CUCACUGACAAACACACACGCGCACACAGACAGACACUUACUGUUAGACAUACACUCACUCAUUGACAGACAUACACUCACUCAAUUACAAUGUUUCCUCACAUAAAGAGGAGCGUACAAGCGCUUGUCAGAUGAUGAAUGAGAAGAAGGUCCAGCUGAAGCACAAAUCAUCUGCCUGUGUCUGCCUGUGUGGGGCCUCCUCAGAAUUUACUUAUAUUCAAAUAUAGUAAAGGUUUGGCCCAUGUAAAUUCACGUUCCUUGUUCUAGUCUAUGACAGUUUAUUUCCGACAUCUCUCCAUGUACAAAGUUCACAGAGAUCUCAUUGCAUUGUGUGUCCUCCUAGCAUACGAAUCAAAGGAAAAGAAUCCCUUGCCCAUGGCUGAAUUUGGGAUUCCCAUCUCAGUUAUACUGUUAUGUGAAAUAAUUCUUGGAAUAUUACUAAGCACCUUCAUUGUGUGUGUAAUCCUAAUGGACUGGAUAAAAGGGAUAAGGCCAAGUCCCUGUUAUCAGAUUUUGCUGGCCCUUGGCUUUUCCAACAUUUGUAACCCGUAUUUGAGUGGUCUUGAGGAUUUUGGAACCAUUAUAUUUCCAUGGAUUGAUUCUGUGACUUACUUUAAUAUUGUUAACAUUCUCG